rnacentral:rRNA from 1 species
AUUAAACGCUGGCGGCAUGCCUUACACAUGCAAGUCGAACGGCAGCACGGGGGCAACCCUGGUGGCGAGUGGCGGACGGGUGAGUAAAGCAUCGGAACGUAUCCUGGAGUGGGGGAUAACGUAGCGAAAGUUACGCUAAUACCGCAUAUUCUGUGAGCAGGAAAGCAGGGGAUCGCAAGACCUUGCGCUCUGGGAGCGGCCGAUGUCGGAUUAGCUAGUUGGUGGGGUAAAGGCCUACCAAGGCGACGAUCCGUAGCGGGUCUGAGAGGAUGAUCCGCCACACUGGGACUGAGACACGGCCCAGACUCCUACGGGAGGCAGCAGUGGGGAAUUUUUGGGACAAUGGGCGCAAGCCUGAUCCAGCCAUGCCGCGUGAGUGAAGAAGGCCUUCGGGUU